rnacentral:lncRNA from 1 species
CAUCACUUCCGGGCGCCAGGUUCGGGCUUUCUCCUGCAGCGAUAAGGGCAGUCGACAGUCUUUAGUAGGGAAAGGAGACAAGUGCUAGCUACUGCCGCCCAAGUGGAAGGAAUUAUCUAUAGAGUAAGUAUGCUAAUCUUGACUAAGACUGCAGGAGUUUUUUUUAAACCAUCAAAAAGGAAAGUUUAUGAAUUUUUAAGAAGUUUUAAUUUUCAUCCUGGAACACUAUUUCUUCAUAAAAUAGUAUUGGGAAUUGAAACUAGUUGUGAUGAUACAGCAGCUGCUGUGGUGGAUGAAACUGGAAAUGUGUUGGGAGAAGCAAUACAUUCCCAAACUGAAGUUCAUUUAAAAACAGGUGGGAUUGUUCCUCCAGCAGCUCAACAGCUUCACAGAGAAAAUAUUCAACGAAUAGUACAAGAAGCUCUUUCUGCCAGUGGAGUCUCUCCAAGUGACCUCUCAGCAAUUGCAACUACCAUAAAACCAGGACUUGCUUUAAGCCUGGGAGUGGGCUUAUCAUUUAGCUUACAGCUGGUAGGACAGUUAAAAAAGCCAUUCAUUCCCAUUCAUCAUAUGGAGGCUCAUGCACUUACUAUUAGGUUGACCAAUAAAGUAGAAUUUCCUUUUUUAGUUCUUUUGAUUUCUGGAGGUCACUGUCUGUUGGCAUUAGUUCAAGGAGUUUCAGAUUUUCUGCUUCUUGGAAAGUCUUUGGACAUAGCACCAGGUGACAUGCUUGACAAGGUAAUUAAGAAUUAAUUUCUCCAUUCUUUUUUGUUAUGUUGUCCAUUUCAACUAAGUAGCAAUAGAUGUGCUACCACCAUUCACCUAAAUAUUUCUGAAUUUUAUCUUAGUAAACUGAAAAAAAUUCACAUAUGGUGAGAAAAAAUAGAAAGAGUAGUACACAAUUUUAUAAUUCUUAGCCUUUCUUAAUAAAAUGGUAAGAGGUUCAUAUCUGUACAUAAAGGCUGAAAUAGUUUGCAGAUACAGUUAUGUAUUUUGCCAAAUAAUGUAUGUGAAAGAACGUGCUUCGUAAACUAACAUACUGCAAAAAAGGUAAAAUAAGAGAAUAUAUAUAGAUUAACAUAAGGACAUUAAAGAUGCAAUGCACAGAAUUAAAUCACACAAUUACUUACACCACAGACAGGGUCCCCCCCCACCCCCCUUUGUUUUAGAAUACUACAGAGGCUACUGCCAUAUAUAGGAAAACAAACAAACAAACAAACAAAACACUGCUUCCCACAGUGAAAUAAUAGGAAGUAUAGGACAAGUUCUUAUUAUUGACGUUCAUCAUUAAGCAGUUAUUGUCAACUUCAAGCCCAUUUUCCAACCAAUAGAAGAGCAAACAUAGACAGGGGCAGUGAUUGGCCUCUUAUUGUUCGGGUCAUCAUAAGGAACAGGGUUGUCUGCUUACCUGAAUAUCAGCUAUAGUCUAUAUUUGCCAAAGUAUAGCAUGUUUUAUUCAUUCAGGGGUUUUUUGUUUUGUUAGUAAUUUUCAAUUUAUUUCCUUUGCAUCUUUUCGUUUCACAGUAUUUAAUUUUAUGACUCUAAAAAAUAUGUUUCUUUGAUAGGUGGCAAGAAGACUUUCUUUAAUAAAACAUC